CAAAAAACCUACGCUCGUAAAGCUCUCAUCGGAACUCUUUCUAAGAAUGGAAACUACAACUUCUGGAGCAGAUGCUGAGGUGGUUGUCAAUAAUCCUUCGCCAGUGGCAGCUCAAAAACAAAGUGCAGACACUCCUCAUCGACGCACUCCUCCUAAGAAGCAAAAAA